rnacentral:sRNA from 1 species
AGGGAGAGAAUAUUUACAUGAGUUAGGGGCUCUACAUGUUCAUUGAGAAUUUUAUCAAAAUCGUUCAAAUCCUUCCAGAUGUUUUCUUCACAUUUUCUGCUAUUCAGAAGGAUAUGUCAACAAUUUCCAACCACGAUAUGGGCUUCUUUCUUUAUUCUCUUAUUUCCAGCAUUUUUCUUCUUUACAUAUUUUGAGAUAGUGUCCUUAGAUUGACAUACUGUACAUCAUACUUUCUUUACAAGUAUUUCCCUUUCUAUCUGAUAAAAUUUUCACCUUUGUUUCUAGCAACACUUCCAGACUUAACAAUUGCAUCGUCUUAUAGUGAAGAUUCAUCAGCUUUUCGUGGUCAAUGUUGACAUGGUUCUGGGAGUUGAACACAGGUCAUCAAACUUGGUGACCAGCUCUUUCACCUGUCUUUGCCAGAUUGCUGCCUCACAAAAUUUGUUAUAAGAAGAGGAAAGGCUAAGAGAGGAAAGGUGCAUCUUCAGAACCAUGUCAGGAAGAAGCUUAAAGGAGGAAAAUGUUCUUUUGGCUCAUGGUUUAAGAGGAAUACAGCCCACCAUGGUGGGGAAACCAUGGCGGCUGAAGUGUGAAGUGGCUCCUCACUCAGUUGCCUCGUCAGUCAGGAAGUGGAAAGAGGAGGUAUGACCAGUCUAUAAAGACUCAGGGCAUGUCUGAAGCAAGCCAUUUCAUCCAACAAGACUGCACUUCCAUAACCGUGUCACCAUCUGUGAGUGUCUGUGGAGGACAUUUGAUAUUGAAACCACAGGAUACAAUAGAGCGAGUCCUUUGACUAAGCACUUGGGCAAAGACUUACUUUGGUAGUAAAAGUCCCAGAAUAACCAUAAAACAUUUAAGUAUCCUAGUAGUGAACGGCCAUGUUGGAUGUGUUAGUACACGUGGGAGGGUGAACAUAUGGGCUCAGGAACCCGGUUGGUAUGUUUCUAUGUUUAUAUCUAAUAACUGCAUAACCUUGUGUUUAAUAACCGCACUCACAGCUGGAUGCUAGCUUUGAGUUUUUAUGAUUAUGUGUUUAAUUCAAAGUGACCUGUAGAGGUCAGGAAAUUAGAAAGGACUUGAGAGAAAGAGGCCUUAAAGGGGCAAAGUGAUAGUACAAGAAGAUGUGGGAUAGGAAUGUAAAGGUGGAAAAUACUGGGGUUGUAUGAACUCAAAGAGACUGUGAGAGCAUGCACAAGGCCUGUACAUGCUCAAGCUGGACACAGUCCCGGCAUGGAGGAGGGAAGAUGGUCACAGAGUUCCAUCCCUAGUCAAAGGGAUCUUGGCAUUUGGCAUUUGAUUGCUGCUGGAUGGGGGAAAAUCACUUCCUUCAGUGGAGAAAACACCUGGCCUAUUGCCUAUUGACUAUGCUCCGGGCAGUCCCCCUGCCUAGAAGUUGUGUGUGUGUGUGUGUGUGUGUGUGUGUGUGUGUGUGUGUGUGUGUCUGUUUAAUAGA